CGCCUUCCUCUGCUCACUGAGAACUGAAAAAACCACAGUGGUCAGUUGGUCCAGUGGCCUCACAUCACAGAUGAGCAAACUGUGGCUCAGGGAAUGGGAAGGAAGGCCCCAGGGUCCCCACAGUGAAAUAGAAGCUGAGCUGGGUCUGACUGGAGCCCCUAAUAACCUAAGGUGGGGGCUUCAUCCUGGGAAAAGAGGGUCUAUUAUAGGAGGAAAUGCAGCCACUGUCACUGCCCCAGUGUUAGUGUGCUUGUUGGAUGGGGCGGGGGCGGUGGUGCCUGGAGGUGGGAGUAUGUGAGGGUGAACUUUGUGUUUAAUUGGGGUGUACUUGAUCUUCUCUGGGUCUUUCUAGCCUGGCUCUACCGUUAACCUCUUGUGUGUCAUUGGGCAAGCCCCUUUCCCUCUUUGGGCCUCAAUUUCCUCCUGUAAAAUGAGUUGGAGAGAUCUUUGAGAUCCCUUCCAGCUCAGACCUCAUGCAUCUCCCAUCAGCCCAGCCUCAUCUGCCCACCUGUUUCCAGGCUCCUGCCCUGGCUAAGGUUGUCUCACAGCCUGCUGAGGCUCCCAUGGCCUCUCUCAGAAUGGUCUCUCUCAGCUGGGCGCAGCAGCUUAUGCCUGUAAUCCCAACACUUUUGGGAGUUCAAGUCCAGCCCGGACAACAUGGUGAGACCUUGUCUCUACAAAAAAUCAAAAAAACAUUAGCUGAGUGUGGUGAUGCAUACCUGUAGUCCCAGCUACUCAGGAGGCUGAGGCAGGAGGAUUGUUUGAGCCCAGGAGGCGGAGGUUGCAGUGAGCUGAGAUUGUGCCACUGCACU
rnacentral:lncRNA from 1 species